rnacentral:rRNA from 1 species
CCCAGACUCCUACGGGAGGCAGCGGUGGGGAAUAUUGGACAAUGGGGGGAACCCUGAUCCAGCGACGCCGCGUGAGUGAAGAAGUAUUUCGGUAUGUAAAGCUCUAUCAGCAGGGAAGAAAGAAAUGACGGUACCUGACUAAGAAGCCCCGGCUAACUACGUGCCAGCAGCCGCGGUAAUACGUAGGGGGCAAGCGUUAUCCGGAUUUACUGGGUGUAAAGGGAGCGUAGACGGCGAUGCAAGUCUGAAGUGAAAGGCGGGGGCCCAACCCCCGGACUGCUUUGGAAACUGUAUAGCUGGAGUGCAGGAGAGGUAAGUGGAAUUCCUAGUGUAGCGGUGAAAUGCGUAGAUAUUAGGAGGAACACCAGUGGCGAAGGCGGCUUACUGGACUGUAACUGACGUUGAGGCUCGAAAGCGUGGGGAGCAAACAGGAUUAGAUACCCCGGUA